UUGCCGGCUCUAAUAGCGACACUCCCGGUCUAGACACUAUUUUUGUCAAAACUACUCACGUCAGCUCAUGACAUUAAUGCAACCGUUGUGGAUCUUCGGAUCACUGGUUCAAGAUUGUCAAGCUCCUUUAAAUUGUGAAUGCAUACAAAAAGGUAUGGAAAAUCAAUAUGAGGACAAGAACGUCAUCCUCAUGAUCGCGAAUAUCAAAGAUUCAGAUCCUGCUCUAGCUACCCAUGACUUUGAUGUCAUCGGCUAGACAUUGAUUUUCGUUCCAAGUUAUAUGUACUAAGGCGUUGUAUCGACGUCCUUUGUCUAUUUGAGACCUCGAUGUACUCACAUUAGCAAUAAUGAAUGCCUUGAGAAUUUUUUCGAAGUGAAACUAUUCUCCUCUUAUGGUUCAUAUUGAUUUACAAUCAAGAUGUACACUUACAUCGUCCUUAGAAAAAUGGCAUAUUGUGCCGAUUUUGGUCCCUUCCUUUGAAGGUGACUCUUGGCACUGCAUCCUCAAGGAGGAUCGCCCACGUGUUUCCGGUUAAGUCUUCUACCUUAUAGCGGAUUUUUCAUCAUCAAUUGUUCAACUAGGCUCAUCCAAGCUCAGUGUGAUGUCUUAGAAUUGUCCGAAAUUAAGGAGAUAAUGGUUUUAAGUGUGCCUCGCACUACCGACCCUCCACGGACAUGCCUGGUCAUACUGACUUGGAGUUACCAAAAGCUUUUGAUUUUGGAUCCCCCUACGCUAUUAAACCAAUUGCCGUCUUGCAAAAGACGUUGAAGACUUAUCAAAGCUGGAAAAUUAUCAUCAUGAUCGGAUCCUCUAGGUCCUCUGAGUUAGUUUAUGUUCAUGUCAGGGANCUUUUGCUUAACUAGUCAUGGAGUUUACGACCUUUAGAACGACCGAAAGGACUUGGN
rnacentral:lncRNA from 1 species